rnacentral:rRNA from 1 species
AGUGAACGCUGGCGGUAGGCCUAACACAUGCAAGUCGAACGGCAGCACAGUAAGAGCUUGCUCUUACGGGUGGCGAGUGGCGGACGGGUGAGGAAUACAUCGGAAUCUACUUUUUCGUGGGGGAUAACGUAGGGAAACUUACGCUAAUACCGCAUACGACCUACGGGUGAAAGCAGGGGAUCUUCGGACCUUGCGCGAUUGAAUGAGCCGAUGUCGGAUUAGCUAGUUGGCGGGGUAAAGGCCCACCAAGGCGACGAUCCGUAGCUGGUCUGAGAGGAUGAUCAGCCACACUGGAACUGAGACACGGUCCAGACUCCUACGGGAGGCAGCAGUGGGGAAUAUUGGACAAUGGGCGCAAGCCUGAUCCAGCCAUACCGCGCGGGUGAAGAAGGCCUUCGGGUUGUAAAGCCCUUUUGCUGGGAAAGAAAAGCAGCAGGUUAAUACCCCGCUGUUCUGACGGUACCCAAAGAAUAAGCACCGGCUAACUUCGUG